rnacentral:rRNA from 1 species
UACGAAGGGGGCUAGCGUUGCUCGGAAUCACUGGGCGUAAAGCGCACGUAGGCGGUUCGUUAAGUCGGGGGUGAAAUCCUGGAGCUCAACUCCAGAACUGCCUUCGAUACUGGCGCUCUUGAGUCUGGGAGAGGUGAGUGGAACUCCGAGUGUAGAGGUGAAAUUCGUAGAUAUUCGGAAGAACACCAGUGGCGAAGGCGGCUCACUGGCCCGGUACUGACGCUGAGGUGCGAAAGCGUGGGGAGCAAACAGG